UGAAUACGAGAUGCUACGGCGUCGAAGCAGUCUAUGUCAUACUUCCAAGAAAAGCUUGCACUGUCAUAAACAAAUAAUGCCUGUACCAUAACCGACACAGGUGGGUAGGUAGAGUAUACUAAGGGGCGCGAGAUAACUCUCUCUAAGGAACUCGGCAAAAUGACUCCGUAACUUUGGGAGAAGGAGUGCCUUAUUUAUAAGGUUGCAAUAACAAGAUCCAAGCAACUGUUUACCAAAAACACAGGUCUCCGCUAAGUCGUAAGACGAUGUAUGGGGGCUGACGCCUGCCCAGUGCCAGAAGGUUAAAGAAGUUGGUUAGCAUCCGCGAAGCUGAUAACUGAAGCCCUGGUGAACGGCGGCCGUAACCAUAACGGUCCUAAGGUAGCGAAAUUCCUUGUCGGGUAAGUUCCGACCCGCACGAAAGGCGUAAUGAUUUGGAUACUGUCUCGGAGAGGGGCUCGGUGAAAUAGACUUGUCUGUGAAGAUGCGGACUACCUGCACCAGGACAGAAAGACCCUAUGAAGCUUUACUGUAACCUGAAAUUGAAAUUGGACUUUACUUGCGCAGUAUAGGUGGGAGGCGUUGAGAAUAUUCUUGCGGGAUUAUUGGAGCCAUCAGUGAGAUACCACUCUUGUAAUGUUAGAUUUCUAACUUUGUAUCAUUAUCUGGUCAAAGAACAGUUUCAGGCGGGCAGUUUGACUGGGGCGGUCGCCUCCUAAACGGUAACGGAGGCGCACAAAGGUUUCCUCUGAACGGGUAGAAAUCGUAUCUAGAGUGUAAAGGCAUAAGGAAGCUUGACUGUGAGACCUACAAGUCGAGCAGGGACGAAAGUCGGUCUUAGUGAUCUGACGGUGCUGAGUGGAAAGGCCGUCACUCAACGGAUAAAAGUUACUCUAAGGAUAACAGGCUGAUCUCCCCCAAGAGUUCACAUCGACGGGGAGGUUUGGCACCUCGAUGUCGGCUCAUCGCAUCCUGGGGCGGUAGUACGUCCCAAGGGUUGGGCUGUUCGCCCAUGAAAGCGGUACGCGAGCUGGGUUCAGAACGUCGUGAGACAGUUCGGUCCAUAUCCGGUGUAGGCGUUAGAAUAUUGAGAGGAGCCUUCUUUAGUACGAGAGGACCGAGAAGGACAUACCUCUGGUGUACCAGUUAUCGUGCCAACGGUAAACGCUGGGUAGCUAUGUGUGGAGUGGAUAACCGCUGAAAGCAUCUAAGUGGGAAGCCCACCUCAAGAUAAGUAUUCUC
rnacentral:rRNA from 1 species